rnacentral:rRNA from 1 species
GAAGGGAUGUAUUUAUUAGAUUAAAAACCAAUGCCCUCUGGGCUCCUUGGUGAUUCAUGAUAACUUUUCGAAUCGCAGGCCUUGCGCCGGCGAUGGUUCAUUCAAAUUUCUUCCCUAUCAACUUUCGAUGUUUGGGUAUUGGCCAAACAUGGUCGCAACGGGUAACGGAGGGUUAGGGCUCGACCCCGGAGAAGGAGCCUGAGAAACGGCUACUACAUCCAAGGAAGGCAGCAGGCGCGCAAAUUACCCAAUCCCGAUUCGGGGAGGUAGUGACAAUAAAUACUGAUACAGGGCUCUUUUGGGUCUUGUAAUUGGAAUGAGUACAAUUUAAAUCCCUUAACGAGGAACAAUUGGAGGGCAAGUCUGGUGCCAGCAGCCGCGGUAAUUCCAGCUCCAAUAGCGUAUAUAAAGUUGUUGUGGUUAAAAAGCUCGUAGUUGAACCUUGGGCCUGGCUGGCCGGUCCGCCUCACCGCGUGCACUGGUCCGGCCGGGCCUUUCCCUCUGUGGAACCCCAUGCCCUUCACUGGGUGUGGCGGGGAAACAGGACUUUUACUUUGAAAAAAUUAGAGUGCUCCAGGCAGGCCUAUGCUCGAAUACAUUAGCAUGGAAUAAUGAAAUAGGACGUGUGGUUCUAUUUUGUUGGUUUCUAGGACCGCCGUAAUGAUUAAUAGGGACAGUCGGGGGCAUCAGUAUUCAAUUGUCAGAGGUGAAAUUCUUGGAUUUAUUGAAGACUAACUACUGCGAAAGCAUUUGCCAAGGAUGUUUUCAUUAAUCAGGAACGAAAGUUAGGGGAUCGAAGACGAUCAGAUACCGUCGUAGUCUUAACCAUAAACUAUGCCGACUAGGGAUCGGACGAUGUUAUUUUUGACGCGUUCGGCACCUUACGAGAAAUCAAAGUGCUUGGGCUCCAGGGG